rnacentral:rRNA from 1 species
CUCGAACGCUGGCGGCAGGCCUAACACAUGCAAGUCGGACGAGUGGCGGACGGGUGAGUAAUGUCUGGGAAACUGCCUGAUGGAGGGGGAUAACUACUGGCAACGGUAGCUAAUACCGCAUACAAUCGGAUGUGCCCAGAUGGGAUUAGCUUGUAGGUGGGGUAAAGGCUCACCUAGGCGACGAUCCCUCGCCGGUCUGAGAGGAUGACCAGCAACACUGGAACUGAGACACGCUCCGGACUCCUACGGGAGUCAGCGGUGGGGAAUAUUGCACAAUGGGCGCAAGCCUGAGGCGGCCAUGCCGCGUGUAUUAAGAAGGUCUUCGGGUUGUAAAGUACUUUCAGCGGGGAGGCGUUACCCGCAGAAGAAGCACCGGCUAACUCCGUGCCAGCAGCCGCGGUAAUUC